rnacentral:rRNA from 1 species
UACGGGGGGGGCAAGCGUUGUUCGGAAUUACUGGGCGUAAAGGGCUCGUAGGCGGCCAACUAAGUCAGACGUGAAAUCCCUCGGCUUAACCGGGGAACUGCGUCUGAUACUGGAUGGCUUGAGGUUGGGAGAGGGAUGCGGAAUUCCAGGUGUAGCGGUGAAAUGCGUAGAUAUCUGGAGGAACACCGGUGGCGAAGGCGGCAUCCUGGACCAAUUCUGACGCUGAGUGAGCGAAAGCCAGGGGAGCGAACAGG